rnacentral:rRNA from 1 species
GUGGGGAAUAUUGGACAAUGGGCGAAAGCCUGAUCCAGCCAUGCCGCGUGUGUGAAGAAGGUCUUCGGAUUGUAAAGCACUUUAAGUUGGGAGGAAGGGCAGUAAGUUAAUACCUUGCUGUUUUGACGUUACCGACAGAAUAAGCACCGGCUAACUUCGUGCCAGCAGCCGCGGUAAUACGAAGGGUGCAAGCGUUAAUCGGAAUUACUGGGCGUAAAGCGCGCGUAGGUGGUUUUGUAAGUUGGAGGUGAAAUCCCCGGGCUCAACCUGGGAACUGCCUCCAAAACUGCAUGACUAGAGUACGGUAGAGAGUAGUGGAAUUUCCUGUGUAGCGGUGAAAUGCGUAGAUAUAGGAAGGAACACCAGUGGCGAAGGCGACUACCUGGACUGAUACUGACACUGAGGUGCGAAAGCGUGGGGAGCAAACAGGAUUAGAAACCCUGGUAGUCC